CACAGUGAGAAGGCGGAGGACCAUCUGCAAGCAGGAAGAGAGCCCUCGCUAGAACCCCCCACGGUGGCAUCUGAUAGUGGACUUCUAGCUUCCAGAACUGAACUCAUAAAUGUCACAUCAGGCUGCCUCUUGGUGAAUUUUUAAUCAACGGGGAGAAUUUCAGCUACAAAUAGACCAAGAAUCAAGAGGCCCACUAUUGAUCGGUCAAAGUGGCACUUAUGAACCUGAGGUUGAAGCAGUUUGGAUAAAAGGAUUCUGGGCUUUCGAUGGCCCCAGAGACAUCUUUUUCCAUCAAGUCCAGGCUUGCUGAUCGGUACAGCUGAGAACAUGUUGAAUUUGAUGUGCCUGUGGAUAUUUGAGUCUGGAACAUUGAAGACAAGUUUGGUCUGGAGAUGUAGACUGGGGAUAUCUCAGCACACAGAUGAUAACUGAAAUGAUGGAGCGGAUGAUAUAAACUGGAGAGAGUCUGGUGUGGGAAGAGUCUUCCCUGAGGUGGCCGAAAGAUGUAAUUCUUACUCCAAAGACUGAAAUAGAGACAAGAGAAGCUGAAGUUACAGGGUUUUGUCAUUGGGAAGACAGUAGAGUGUGUCAUAUCCCAAGAGUGAAGCAAGGACAAACCAAAGAACAACUGGGAAGAUCUGGGAGAAAAAGGAAAUGAUGCAACUGAGUCACAGAGAAGUUAAGUAAUCUGCCUGCCGACACUCGGGUCGAUGCCGCCUCAUUCCAUCACUCGGGCAAUGGAGCCAAAGGCCACGUUCACAACCACUAGGCUGUCCCAGCCCCUUGCUUCAAAGAUAGCCAGGCAGGAGUUAUUUUAUAGAAUGGAAGUAAUUUCUACGGGGCCAAGCAAUAAUAAGGAAAUUGGAAGUCAAGGACUAUCUUCCGAAUGGAGAAGAAGCUCCAUCAACCACAGAAGGAAAUUAUGAUCACUCCUGCCAUCCUGCUCCUUUGUGUAUCCAGGAUGAAGGGGAGAAUUGGAGUCUUGCACAAUGAAAGGACAACAUUGCUGCCAAAACAAUCCAUCGUGACUGUAGACAUAUUUUCCACCCUCAUCCUGCAGGUUUUCUGCCAGUUGUUGGCCCCUCACCAAUUUUGCUCCUGGGCAGUCUGAGGUGGAACAUAAUUUUGUAUAAAACAAAUUAUGCUCAACCUCACUUAUAA
rnacentral:lncRNA from 1 species